rnacentral:rRNA from 1 species
CCUACGGGAGGCAGCAGUGGGGAAUCUUGCGCAAUGGGCGAAAGCCUGACGCAGCCAUGCCGCGUGAAUGAUGAAGGUCUUAGGAUUGUAAAAUUCUUUCACCGGGGACGAUAAUGACGGUACCCGGAGAAGAAGCCCCGGCUAACUUCGUGCCAGCAGCCGCGGUAAUACGAAGGGGGCUAGCGUUGCUCGGAAUUACUGGGCGUAAAGGGAGCGUAGGCGGAUAGUUUAGUCAGAGGUGAAAGCCCAGGGCUCAACCUUGGAAUUGCCUUUGAUACUGGCUAUCUUGAGUGUGGGAGAGGUAUGUGGAACUCCGAGUGUAGAGGUGAAAUUCGUAGAUAUUCGGAAGAACACCAGUGGCGAAGGCGACAUACUGGCCCAUUACUGACGCUGAGGCUCGAAAGCGUGGGGAGCAAACAGGAUUAGAUACCCUGGUAGUCCACGCUGUAAACGAUGAGUGCUAGUUGUCGGCAUGCAUGCAUGUCGGUGACGCAGCUACGCAUAAGACACUCCGCCGUGGGAGGUACGGUCGCAGAGUUAAACUACAAUAGAGUUAGACGGCGUGAGACGUGCCGACGGACGACGACGAGGGAGGUUAGG